UACGAAGGGUGCGAGCGUUAUUCGGAUUGAUUGGGCGUAAAGGGUGCGCAGGCGGAAUGCUAAGUCAACUGUUAAAUUUCCCGGCUUAACCGGGAGUCAGCGGUAGAUACUGGUGUUCUUGAGGGUGGAAGAGAGAAGUGGAAUUCUCGGAGUAGCGGUAAAAUGCGUAGAUCUCGAGAGGAACACCGAUGGCGAAGGCAGCUUCUUGGUCCAUUUCUGACGCUCAUGCACGAAAGCGUGGGGAGCAAACAGG
rnacentral:rRNA from 1 species